rnacentral:rRNA from 1 species
CUAUUCUCAAACUUUAAAUGGGUGAGAAGUCCGGCUUGCUCGAUCGAAGCGCGGACGUUCCGGAUGUGAGUGCCCAGUGGGCCACUUUUGGUAAGCAGAACUGGUGCUGUGGGAUGAACCAAACGCCGGGUUAAGGCGCCCGAUGCGAGACGCUCACGAGACCCCAGGAAAGGUGUUGGUUGCUACAGACAGUAGGGUGGUGCCCAUGGAAGUCGGAAUCCGCUAAGGAGUGUGUAACAACUCACCUGCCGAAGCAACUAGCCCUGAAAAUGGAUGGCGCUCCAGCGUCGAGCCCAUACCCGGCCGUCGGGGCAGAGUGCCGGGAGCGCGCGUUACGCCCCGACGAGUAGGAGGGUCGCGGCGGAGAGCGUCGAAGGUGCCGGGCGCGAGCCUGCCUGGAGCCUCCGCCGGUGCAGAUCUUGGUGGUAGUAGCAAAUACUCGAGUGAGAACCUCGAGGACUGAGGUGGAGAAGGGUUCCAUGUGAACAGCAGUUGAACAUGGGUCAGUCGGUCCUAAGGGAUGGGAGAAAUCCGUUCCGAAGCGGGGCCUUGCUAGAACAGGCUCGUCCCGCCGGUGACCGAAAGGGAAUCGGGUCAAUAUUCCCGAACCCGGACACGGAGAGGGGGCCUUCGGGUCCGAUCGCGGCGACGCAACCGAACUCGGAGACGUCGACGGCGGCCCCGGGAAGAGUUUUCUUUUCUUUGUAAGGACUCGGCUCCCUGGAAUCGGCUCGUCCGGAGAUAGGGAUGCUGUUGCCUCCGUAAAGCACCGCGGCUCUUGCGGUGUCCGGAGCGCCGCCGUCGGCCCUUGAAAAUCCGAGGGAGGGGGUGUGAUUUUCGUGCCGGACCGUACCCAUAUCCGCAGCAGGU